UAUUUUUACAUGUUUAUGUAUACAGAUGGGUAGUGAGUAAAUACUCACGGGUAAAUACCGAGUAAAUACUCAGUAUUUACUCAAUAUACCCGUAUUUACUCGUUUAUACCCAAAUUGGUGGGUAUAAACUAUUGAGAGUGCUGAAAGGGGCAUAUAAAUUUGAAAUAUAGGUGUAUUUUGUAAGCCGCUACUGGAUUAAGUACUCAAAAUUGUAAGAAAUGUAUUUUUAAGAGGGGGCACUCCAUACAUAAACCACCAACGUGUUGCACAUCAUUAAAUGGGUCUUUAAAAAUAACUGGAAU